GUCGUUAUAUCUUUUUAAUUAUCAGGAAUUUCACGAAUAAAAACAAAACAGGUAUAGCUCAUUUUUCAUAAGGAAGAAUAAUAUGCAGAGUAUCGCAGCAAAAUGCGAACCGAUUAUAUGUAUGAAGACACAUAACCGUGAGUGUAUUGCUUGAUUUCAAAAGAAAACUAAGUAUCUCAAACAUCAAGACUCUAAUAUCAUAAAGGCGAUAUGGAAAUUUAAAAUACAUCGAUUGAAACUUUCCCCACCAGCACCAGACCAAUCUUGCUCCUCGCUUAGCCUGCACAUUUAGAAAUAUAUGCAGGGCGUGAGUACAUAAUACUCAGUGGGCAAACGCCGAAAAACAAGAAAGGUGCUCUUAGAGCUAUAGAUUUGAAACUUGCCACAUCUCAGCAAUACACAGGAAUAAGUUUAGCGUAAAUGAACCUGUGUAAGCAGUUUUAAUAAACAUCAUAAAGAAAUAAAUGAAUGACAGCUGUCAAAGAUCUCAACAUGCAUGCACCACAUCUACAACUCAUCAUCAUCAAAGGUACUGAGAAGUAGGCCUCCCUCUCAAGUACCGUGACCGGCCGACCCGAAGACGGCUCACAGUCACCUCUGUGCACAAAAUCCCGCUUGUGGCAGGACCGAAUUCGUCUCAUCGGUAGAGGGUCACAUACAAGUUCAUCAUCAAAAAUUGGCAAGUCCAACAAUUCUCAAACAUCAUUUAUCUCAAAUCAUUUGAUAAGUUCAUAACAUCAUUAAAUCAUUUUAGAAAGCUCGUAUAAUAUACUUAUACUCAAAGUAUUGCCCACCUGAAGUCCUUCGCUAAUCCUGGAGAGAAAUCAGGCAACUUACUUCUUCGUCUCGCUCGGGCCUUCAUAUAUCAUCAUCACAUCGUCAUUGUCAUCGAAGGUUCAUGUGAUAAAACAAACCUUAGUCAGAAACUCAAUCAAUCUCAUCUUAAACUAUAACUUCUCACUCAACGUCUAUUUACCCAAUAAACUCAAUCCCUAGGUACACUCAACUUCUAAGGAUUCACACGUCCUACUCUCGACUUAACUCUCAACUCGGCUCAACCUCAUAGCAUUUAAGCACAUAAACAAGCAUAAACACUUAAGCAUAUGAAAAACACACAUAGACAAGUCAAAAAUAAACUUCACUCUGCACUGACUCAACUUCAAAAUCUCACCAGACUCGGUACAGACCUCUUAUGGAGUCGUAACCUAUACCAAAACAAACCUCUUUGAGUAUAGUGUCAUUUAAAAAAAAGUAGGGUCAAAAACUCCAAGUAUUUUAGGAGAUAUGACUGUUUUACUACAGUCUACCAUAUUCGGCAGUUUUUGGCAUUCGAAAAGUUGGAUUUUUGAAAAAUAGUAAACGUGGUCAAAAAGGUCUGAAAUUUUGUGGGUACAUACCUAAGACACUUAUGUCUUAACAAUAAAAAUUUGGGUUCCAGAAUGUUAAGGAAAGAUACUGUAAUAGAUGACUCCAUUGGCUACUCACCGAACAAUUCGGCAGAACGUAGCAGUUUUGGUUUUUUAUUUAUAAAACUAGUAAACGAAGUCCAAAUGACUUGAAAUUUUACCUUUAUGCUCAAGACUCUCAAAUAUACUUAUCAUAAAAUUUUCAUGGUGUUUGGAUAACAAAAACAUCUCGAAAACAGUAGGUCAGUGCAUCACUAAAAAUGACUCCGAACUCCAUCACACAAGCAAACAUGUUCAACUCAACAUUUCUUCAAGCAAACUCAUCAAAGCUCAUUUUAAACACUUAUAGCAUUCAAAAACAUUCAAGUACAACAUAAUACUCAUCAUACUCAAUCUCGANAAACAUUCAAGUACAACAUAAUACUCAUCAUACUCAAUCUCGACUCUUCUCUUACAUCUUUAGACUCAAAUCUCAAGGAGAACGUUUCAACGAACGCAUCAUUAAAAUUCUCUUCUCAUUUUCAUGCUCAAAAAUUUCUCAAACACUCAAACAUGAUCUCAUUCAUCAUAUAACUCAUCAUACACAUAUAGAUUCCCUUUUUAUCAUGUAAACUAAACUCUAAUGAAAGCUCAUGUAUCCACAUAAAACUCUUAAUAAAACAUGACAAACGUUCACAUAAUGGUCAUAAAGCAAUUAGACCUCAUUUUACCAAGCAUCAACCUCACAUCAUAUGAGAACUCAAAAACUCAUAUAAACUAAACUAAGUCAAAAUUUUACUUAGCCUACAAUAGACCUAAUCAAACAUAUUUAGACACCAAUUUCAUGCUCAAUUUCUUAUAUCUUAAGCCAAUUCACUUAAUAAACAUAUAGACAAAAAGUCCUAAUUUUUAUUAAACUAAACUCUUUGAAAUUUUAUAAACACUCAUGAAUCUUUAAUCCAUUCAUAGAUCCAUCAAUCUUAACCAAUUAAUCUCAUAUAUAAACCAUCAAUUUACAAAUUAGAGCAUAGAUACACAUAUCCCUAAUUUUAUUAAACUAACUCAUAUCAAAAUCAUCAAUUGACAUCAUAUACUCAAUUUACUCCAUCAAUCAUCAUCGUAUACAUCUCAUGGACUCAUCUUCAUCAUCAAUUCAUCAUUUUAAUCAUCAACUCAAAAGUUCCCAAUUUUGGGUAAACUAAACUCCAUCGAACUUUCACAUCUCAAUGAAUCACAUAGACAUAUACAUCACAACACACAUCAAUCAUCAACAAACAUCACAUAGAUAUCAUUUUUUUCACCCCAAAACAAGGAAAGAAAAAGAAAUUUUUUUGAAGGGUUGAAGACCCAAAUUUUCGAAAAUUUUAGAAAAAGGAAGGGGUGAUUUUCUUGCUUCAAUCUUUCAAGAAUACUCACAUACAACAUCAUU
rnacentral:lncRNA from 1 species